ACCCUCGGCGGCCGCCCCGCGCGCGCUCCGGGCCGUUUCCGGUGUGGCCGCGACAAAGAGCCGCAGCCCCUGUGGCUUCUGCGAGGAGGCGUGAGGCGUGUGCGCCUCCGCGGCGUCUCCACGGAGCGAGCGGGACGCGCCCUCCUCCUCGGUGGGAGGGAGGGGGGUCACCUGCGGGGACCAGGUAUCCGAGGGCCACCCCUAGACAGUCAGCCUGGCCCGAAGGAUGACCAGCCCCCGGUAAAUAGAAGGGGGCGAAGCCAGCUCCGAAACCUUACGUUCGCUGUCCCUUGUAAAGACCCUAGAGGCAGUGAUCGGGGAACGCCAAGGAGAAAGCGGCAGAGGGGAAACCACAGUAGAGAAGUUUGGUGUGCAGAGGGUUGAAGUGUGCUUUUCCAAGGUUAGAGGUUUUUAAACCUUGUGGCUUUAAUGGGAACGUAGUUUGCCCUCUGCUCCUCUAGUGGAAUUACAUGGACGGAAGAGGAAAUGCAUUGGCCGGCCCAGCUCACCGAGUCUCUGAGGCAUGCUGCGAACGUUGCAGAGGAAGCCAGAGAGAACCUUGCCUUCAAGGAAUUUAGGCUGUUGGGGGAUAAUGCGAUGCUGUGGCCAGUGUCCAGGACACUGCGCUAGAGUUUGCAGUAGUUUUAAUAUGCUUGACCACCCACGAACUGUGAUCUUAGAAAAGUCACUUGGGUUAGGAGUCAAAGGAUUUAAAGCCCACAAAGCCUGAAACGUAAAUCCUAUACACAUGCACGCUAUUACUUUUCAUAUGAGAAAGGAAAAUAUAAUCCGUGUUCCACAUGAUUAUGUAAAGACUGGAAUUGAUGUACAUGCAGUAAAGACUAAAAUUGUGACGAGAUCAUUUAGCAGAAACCACUACUUCAAAAUAGGACCUCAAACAGUUACCUGUGUAAGUUCAGGACUGGUUGAGCAAAGGGAAAGGAUUAAUAUGAUUGGAGAUGUAAAAUCAGUGGAAUUUUUGGCAUUUCAGUAAAAUGUCUUUAUCAGCUGGGUGUGGUGGCUCAGCCCUGUAAUCCCAACACUGUGGGAGGCCAAGGUGGGAGGAUCAUUUGAGCCCAGGAAUUGGAGAGUUGGAGACCAGCUUGGGCAACAUAAAGACCCCGUCUCUAUGGGAAAUUAACCACCUCUCAAGUGGUGCUGAGGUGGGAGGAUAGCUUGAGCCUGGGAAGUCAAGGUUGCAGUGAGCUGUGGUGACUCCAUUAUACUCCAGCCUGGGUGACAGAGCAGGACCUUGUCUCAAAAGAAAACAAAAAAGCCCUUAUUAGUGGCAAACUAAAUAAGCCUCUAACCCGUCUUCAAGUAAAGGAAGUUAUGAUAGUAUUUUCAUUUAUGCAUUUUAAGAAACUUCGACUGACUAUGGCCAGCAACUGGGAUAGAAAGAUGGACAUCAGCCGGCUGUGGUGGCUCACGCCUGUAAUCCCAGCACUUUGGGAGGCCGAGGUAGGCGGAUCACCUGAGGUCGAGAGUUCAAGACCAGCCUGACCAACAUGGAGAAACCUCAUCUCUACUAAAAAUACAAAAUUAGCCAGGUGUGGUGGUGCAUGCCUGUAAUCCCAGCUACUCGGGAGGCUGAGGCAGGAGAAUCGCUUGAACCUGGGAGGUGGAGGUUGCUGUGAGCCAAAAUCGCACCAUUGCACUCCAGCCUGCGCAAGAAGAGCGAAACUCUGUCUCAAAAAAAAAAAAAAAAAAAAAGUGGACAAAAUGUAGUCCUAGGUCCUUGCAUUUGGCACAUUCAAGUUUGAUAAUACCAUUAGUUAUUGAGUAUUGUUGACCAGGCAUCGUGCUCCAUCAUUAAACACAUUAUCUGGUUUAUCUUUACAACAGGCUAAUGAGUUAGGUAUUAUGCCCCUCAUUGCCAAAAUUAGGAAGGAAACUAAGACCCAGAAGGAAUGAUUUUCAAGGCCACACAAUAAAUUGCAGAAUUUGGUUUCCAAGUCAGUCUGAAUUCAAGGUCCAUGUUCCUAACCACAGUGUUUUGCUGCAAACAAACACAGUUCACUGGGAUAAGUGCAGUUAUGGUGGCUUGUACAAAAUGUUCUGUGGUAGUACAGGCAGGGAGUGACAGCUUUAGCCUGCUAAACAGUCAAGACAGGCAUCACAUUCAAGUAACGUUAGAGCUGAGCCUGAAGGAUGGACAGGAUUUUGCAAGUGGAGGUGGGGAGAAGAGUUUUCUGGGCAGAGAGAACUGCGUACAAAGACAGAAGACCCUGAAAGCACAGAGCUUGUAGUUGGGGGCCCCUGAGCAUCUGGAAGAGAGGACAGGAAAUGAGGCAGGAACAGCUGAAGAGCAUCUUCUCCAGAGAUUCUUAGAUUGGCGGUGCUGGACAGCAAGUGACCAGAAGAGAAACAAGUGGUAACCCAACCUGCAUGAAGAAAAUUCAGUAGAACCUUGCUGGUGUAGAGAAGAUGGCACAAAGAAGAGUGAGAACACUUUUAUGAAAGGCUUAGGAAAUGUUGAAGUUUUCCAGUUUUCUUCCUAUGUGAAGGAACAUAGUGAAGGGGGAAAGGCCCCUUUUUUGCACAUACCUGUGGAGGGUAACGCUGUGUGGGUGCAUUUAGCCCUAAUCUCUGCCGUGGAUCAGGAUCGUUGGUUGUGGAGGAGGAAGAAGAGAGGGAAAGGCUUGAAUACUUACAAAAGAUUUUGAGAGCCUAAAUGAUGAAAGCUAGCAGUUCUACAGUGUUUACUAAGUGCAAGAAACUGUUGUAAGAGUUUUGCAUAUAUUAACUCCUUUGAUUCGAUUCUAAUGACCCUAUGAGGUAGGUGCUAUUAUUAUCAUCUCCAUUUCACAGAGAAGGAAAUUGAGACACAGAGAGAUUAAAUAACUUGACCAAGAUCACACAGCUAUAAUAGUCAAUUGUGGAGCUGGGAUUCAAGCUCUGGUGUCUGCUUUCAGAUUCAUACCCUUACCCAUUACCCUGUACUACCCAUCUGGAAUGUGGAGAACGUGCUGAUAACAUUGCUAAUAAUCAUCUGUCGUUUAUUUCUGACUACUCUCCAAUUUUUUUAAGAGACCUGUAUCUAACCUUUGGUGAUAACUAAACUAUAGGAGAAAACUUGAGUUCUGAUAGUAAGAAACAUUUACAAAAUGGUCUGAAAGUUGAUUUGAAGUCGAAAACCCUUAUAUGUGUUUGUAAAUUCUAGAGAAGAAGUGGCAGCCAGGCAGAUGAGCUCUCUGUUCUGUGCAGAGCUGAUGGUACUCCCUGCCCUGGGGAGCCGGCACUGGCAGCGAUUACAUCACUAAGUCACCCUCCAUACUCAGCUGCUUGCUAAGAAUUAAAUUGCUGGCACCAGAUCUGGUGAGCCUCAUGUUACCAUGGCUUGUUUGUGGAGAGCACAUUAGUGUGAUAUGUUCAGUCUUCAGAAACAGUUAAACAUCAGCUUUAUUACCAAAAAGAUAGUGUAUGCUGGUAUUACUCCUGGUUAUUCGGUUCAGCUCCUCAAGUGAACAGUCCCACACCUAUUUAGCCCAUUGAGUCAAGCUGACCUCCUUUCCCGGUUACGGGUUUGUGGACAGGAGUGACAGGCGGGUUCACUUGCAAGGGAGCCAGAGAGCCGCUCGUGCCUCUGCUGCCCUCUAGAGGCGUGUCAGGCCAAGGCCGCUCAUCUCUGAGCCUUGCCGGCGGAUUGCACCACCAGUCCACCUUUUGUCUCCCUUUUGAAUCUCCACUGAACACCAUUUGUCAAAAGGGUUGAGGCAAAACCACUCUGAGCUUCCAAAACAAUAAUAAGACUUAAUUAGAAUUCCAAGCUAAGCCAUUGAGAGUUGCUGUUUAUAUUGGGGAAGAUGUAACACUUCAGUCCUGUGUUUUUCAGCCCCUACAUCUCAACCAUCAAAGGGAAAUGAGUCAAGGUUGUUUUAAAACUAUAAAUAGAGCUAACACUUACAAAGCAAUUGCCACAUGCCAGGUACUAUUCUAAGCGCCUCGCAUAUGAUGACCUAUUUAAUGAGGUGGGUGGUAUGAGCAUCUCUAUCUUAUAAAUAGGGGAACUGAGGCAAGGGACUGUAAGUAUUUCUCACAGUUCAUGGGUGGUGGAACUGGCUUUGAAGCCCGGUAGUUCUGGCUCCAUGAACUUGGCUUAUAAUCACUUUACUGUACGGCCUCUUUUAUAGCUAUCGAGGCAUGCAUUGCAAGUCCAAUUUUUAGGUAAAGGUUUUGUUAAAAAUCUUUAACCUUAAUCUUGUAAUGAGGAAACAAUUGGCCCAGACCCUUUAAAAAUGUCAAUGACGUAAUAAAUAAAGAAGGAGAAGGAGGAGGAGGAAGGGGAGAAGUAUUUUAGAGCUAUGACAACUAAAUAUAAUUCAUUGUCCAUGGUUAGACCCUGGAUAUAAAGAGACAAAACUACAAACAAUAUUAUUGGGAAAUUAGGAAAAUAUGAAUAUGGGCUAUAUUUUGGAUAAUCAUAUUAAUGUUGCAUUUCUUGAGUAUGACCUCUUAUUGCUGUUAUAUAGCAGUAUGUCCUUGUUCUUAAGUGAUACUUGAACUAUUUAGGGGUAAAAUAUCAUGAUAUCAGCAAAUUACUAUCAGACAAUUCAGGAAAAAAAUAUACCUGAGAAAGAAAGAGAAAGCAAAUGUGGCAAAAUGUAAAAUAAUUAGGAAACUAGGUAAAGGGUAUAUGGUGUUCAUUAUGCUAUUUUUAAAACUUUUUUCUAGGUUUGACAUUUUUAGCAUAAAAAGUAGAGGCAAAAUAAUUACUUAUUUCAGAAUAAGAGGUAGCCAUGGCUACACCCAAGGUAUCUGCCUGGACACCACAAGUGGUACAAAUAAGCAAAGUGUGUUAGUUGGGAAUCCACAGGCAAGCUUUGAAAUCUGUAGACAUAUGUUAUAUGAAAGUGUAUGAGAUAUUACAUCUUAUUUAUUCAUGUUUUUCCAUUAGUACUAGGAAUUACAUGCAUCAUUAUGUAUUUUCAAAAAAGAUCAAGUUUCCAUCCAAUAGAAAAUAAAUAGUGCAAAUUACAAAGUCUUGUAUGAAACUAAAUAAGGUCUAAUUGUAGUCUUGGGAUUAUUCUGUUUUUAUCAUCAACAAAUAAGGCAUUUGUAGGAGAGUGCCUGCCCUAUUUAUUCAGCACUGUGUUCCAGGUACUGAUUUAGUGCUGGGGAUACACCAGUGAGCAAACCAAGAUCUCUGAACUCAUGGUGCUCGCCUUCUGAUGGGACAGAGAGACAAAUAUUAUAGCUCAGUAAACUGCAGAGAAUGUUAGAAAGUGAUUAUUGCCAAAGAAAAGUAGAAAAAUAGAGCAGCAUAGUGGGAAAUUGGGACAGGCAGUUGCAGAGAAGAGGGUUUCAGUUUUAAAGAGGAUCCCCAGGGUAGGUUUCAUCAAAUAUGACCUCAUGGCACCUGGAAGGAAAGUAGAAGAGAACAGAGAAGAACAACCCUAAGGUGACAGCAUGCCCAGAGUAUGGCUAGAGCUGAGUGAGCAAGGGGGAAAGAGGAGAAGGAUAUGAAGUCAGAGAGGAAAUAGAGGAUGAGUUCACAAAGGUCACCAUGAAGGCUUUGGUUUUCAUGCUGAGUAAAAUAGGAAGCCACUGGAUGAUUUUGAGCAGAGGAGUGAGGUGAUCUGACUUAACACUUAAAAGGAUCAAUCUCGUAGGGGGACAAAGGUGGAAGCAACAUCUCCCGUUAGGAGCCUAUUGCAACAAUCCAAGCAAGAGAGGAGAGUGACUCAGCACAGGCUGGUAGAAUUGGUGGUGGAGAGAUGUGAUCAGAUUCUGGAUAUUUUGUUGGUAGAGCCAACAGGAAGGAUUUGCUGAUAAAUUAGAUGUGAUGUUUGAGAGAAAAAGACAAGGGUGACUCAAUAUUUUUGUCCAGAGCAACUGGAAAAAUGAAGCUGUCAUUCCCACAGAUAGGGAAGACUAGGUAGAGCAGAUUUUGAGGGAGAAGAUUAAGAGUUCAGUUUUGGACAUGCUGAGUUACAGCUGUCUAUCAGACAUCCAGAUGGAGAUGUCAUAAAGGUAGUUGGAUAUAGAAGUUUUGAGAUUGUAGAGAGGUCAGGGCUAGAGAUUUAAAACUGGUCACAAUUGGUGUAUUGAUGGUAUUCAUAGCCGUGAGCCUGGAUAGGAUGACCAAGACAGUGAGUGUGGAUAGAGAAGAGAAGAGUAUUAAGGAAUGUGCCCUUGAAUUCUUCUCUUUUAUUGUUUAUUUAUACUUGUUAUGUUUCUCAUUUUGUUUGGAAAAUUAUUACGCUGUGUAAAAUAAAAAGGAGAGUUGACAAUUAUUUAAAUUACUGAA